rnacentral:rRNA from 1 species
UACGAAGGGGGCUAGCGUUACUCGGAUUGACUGGGCGUAAAGGGCGCGUAGGCGGUUCGUACAGUCAGACGUGAAAUUCCUGGGCUCAACCUGGGAACUGCGCUUGAUACGGCAGAGCUAGAGGAUGGAAGAGGCUCGCGGAAUUCCCAGUGUAGAGGUGAAAUUCGUAGAUAUUCGCAAGAACACCAGUGGCGAAGGCGGCUCACUGGCCCAUUACUGACGCUGAGGCACGAAAGCGUGGGGAGCAAACAGG